UACGGGGGGCAGCAGUGGGGAAUAUUGGACAAUGGGCGAAAGCCUGAUCCAGCCAUGCCGCGUGUGUGAAGAAGGCCCUCGGGUUGUAAAGCACUUUCAGUGAGGAAGAACGCCUGGUGGUUAAUACCCAUCAGGAAAGACAUCACUCACAGAAGAAGCACCGGCUAACUCCGUGCCAGCAGCCGCGGUAA
rnacentral:rRNA from 1 species